rnacentral:rRNA from 1 species
AACGAACGCUGGCGGCAUGCCUAACACAUGCAAGUCGAACGAGACCUUCGGGUCUAGUGGCGCACGGGUGCGUACCGCGUGGGAACCUACCCUUAGGUUCGGUAUCACUGACUGUAAGGGGUGUUAAUAACGGUUAAUGUCUUCGGGCCUAAGAUUUAUCGCCUUUGGAUGGGCCCGCGUUGGAUUAGCUAGUUGGUAGGGUAAAAGCCUACCAAGGCGACGAUCCAUAGCUGGUCUGUGAGGAUGAUCAGCCACACUGGGACUGAGACACGGCCCAGACUCCGACGGAAGGGAGCAGUGGGGAAUAUUGGACGAGGAGCGAAAGCCUGAUCCAGCAAUGCCGCGGAAGUGAGGAAGGCCGUAGGGAUGUAAAUCUCUCUUACCCGGAGUGAUAAUGACAGUACCGGGAGAAGAAGCACCGGCUAACUACGUG